rnacentral:rRNA from 1 species
UCGACGGGAGCUUGCUCCCUGAGGUUAGCGGCGGACGGGUGAGUAACACGUGGGCAACCUGCCUAUAAGACUGGGAUAACUUCGGGAAACCGGAGCUAAUACCGGAUACGUUCUUUUCUCGCAUGAGAGAAGAUGGAAAGACGGUUUACGCUGUCACUUAUAGAUGGGCCCGCGGCGCAUUAGCUAGUUGGUGAGGUAAUGGCUCACCAAGGCGACGAUGCGUAGCCGACCUGAGAGGGUGAUCGGCCACACUGGGACUGAGACACGGCCCAGACUCCUACGGGAGGCAGCAGUAGGGAAUCUUCCGCAAUGGACGAAAGUCUGACGGAGCAACGCCGCGUGAACGAAGAAGGCCUUCGGGUCGUAAAGUUCUGUUGUUAGGGAAGAACAAGUACCAGAGUAACUGCUGGUACCUUGACGGUACCUAACCAGAAAGCCACGGCUAACUACGUGCCAGCAGCCGCGGUAAUACGUAGGUGGCAAGCGUUGUCCGGAAUUAUUGGGCGUAAAGCGCGCGCAGGUGGUUCCUUAAGUCUGAUGUGAAAGCCCACGGCUCAACCGUGGAGGGUCAUUGGAAACUGGGGAACUUGAGUGCAGAA